UGGGGAAUCUUGCGCAAUGGCCGAAAGGCUGACGCAGCGACGCCGCGUGGAGGAUGACGCCCUUCGGGGUGUAAACUCCUGUUGCCCGGGACGAAUGCCUGUUUCGACAGGAGUGACGGUACCGGGUGAGGAAGCACCGGCUAACUCUGUGCCAGCAGCCGCGGUAAUACAGAGGGUGCGAGCGUUGUCCGGAAUCACUGGGCGUAAAGGGCGCGUAGGCGGCUCGGUAAGCGUGUGGUGAAAGCCCGGGGCUCAACCCCGGGUCGGCCAUGCGAACUGUCGAGCUGGAGCACGGUAGAGGCACAUGGAAUUCCGGGUGUAGCGGUGGAAUGCGUAGAGAUCCGGAAGAACACCGGUGGCGAAGGCGGUGUGCUGGGCCGUAGCUGACGCUGAGGCGCGACAGCGUGGGGAGCAAACAGG
rnacentral:rRNA from 1 species